UACGGAGGGUGCAAGCGUUGUCCGGAUUUAUUGGGUUUAAAGGGUGCGUAGGCGGCCCAUUAAGUCAGCGGUGAAAGCCCGGGGCUCAACCCCGGAACCGCCGUUGAUACUGGUGGGCUUGAGUAUGGACGAGGUUGGCGGAAUUGAGGGUGUAGCGGUGAAAUGCUUAGAUACCCUCAAGAACACCGAUUGCGUAGGCAGCUAACUAGGCCAUAACUGACGCUGAGGCACGAAAGCGUGGGGAGCGAACAGG
rnacentral:rRNA from 2 species